AACGAACGCUGGCGGCGUGCCUAACACAUGCAAGUCGAACGGGAAAGCCCGCAAGGGUGAGUACAGUGGCGCACGGGUGCGUAACACGUGGGUAAUCUGCCCAGAAGCCCGGAAUAACUCCCCGAAAGGGGUGCUAAUGCCGGAUGAGACCACGGGGACUUCGGUUCCUGGGGGAAAAGGUGGCCUCUGUAUACAAGCUAUCACUUCUGGAUGAGCCCGCGGCCCAUCAGCUAGUUGGCGGGGUAAUGGCCCACCAAGGCUACGACGGGUAGCUGGUCUGAGAGGACGAUCAGCCAACCUGGAACUGAGACACGGUCCAGACUCCUACGGGAGGCAGCAGUGGGGAAUCUUGCGCAAUGGGCGAAAGCCUGACGCAGCAACGCCGCGUGUGUGAUGAAGGUCUUCGGAUCGUAAAGCACUGUCGGGAGGGACGAAUAAGGGCCGGGUGAACAAUCCGGUUCGACGACGGUACCUCCAGAGGAAGCACCGGCUAACUACGUGCCAGCAGCCGCCGCCGUAA
rnacentral:rRNA from 1 species